rnacentral:rRNA from 1 species
AGGACGAACGCUGGCGGCGUGCCUAACACAUGCAAGUCGAGCGGGGACACGAAGUAGCAAUACGGAGUGUCUAGCGGCGGACGGGUGAGUAACGCGUGAGCAAUCUGUCCCGGAAUGGGGGGAUAACAGAUGGAAACAUCUGCUAAUACCGCAUAAGACCACGAGGUCACAUGGCCUUGAGGUAAAAGGAGCAAUCCGAUCCGGGGUGAGCUCGCGUCCGAUUAGCCAGUUGGCGGGGUAACGGCCCACCAAAGCGACGAUCGGUAGCCGACCUGAGAGGGUGAUCGGCCACACUGGAACUGAGAGACGGUCCAGACUCCUACGGGAGGCAGCAGUGGGGAAUAUUGGGCAAUUGGGGGGAAACCCUGACCCAGCAACGCCGCGUGAGGGAAGAAGGUUUUCGGAUUGUAAACCUCUGUCCUUGGUGACGAAGGAAGUGACGGUAGCCAAGGAGGAAGCCCCGGCUAACUACGUGCCAGCCGCCGC